rnacentral:tRNA from 1 species
AUUUAAGUAGUUUAUUAAAACGUUACAUUUUCAUUGUAAAAUUAGAUUUUAUCUCUUAAAUA